rnacentral:rRNA from 1 species
UACGUAGGGUGCGAGCGUUGUCCGGAAUUAUUGGGCGUAAAGAGCUUGUAGGCGGUUUGUCGCGUCUGCUGUGAAAAUCCGGGGCUCAACCCCGGACUUGCAGUGGGUACGGGCAGACUAGAGUGUGGUAGGGGAGACUGGAAUUCCUGGUGUAGCGGUGAAAUGCGCAGAUAUCAGGAGGAACACCGGUGGCGAAGGCGGUUCUCUGGGCAUUACCUGA